ensembl:lncRNA
UUUGCAACUAGUGCUUUAUUUUGAAUAAACAGGGGCACUCACAAUUAUGAGAAUCUUUUAUGGUUAAUUACUGCUAUUUACGUUGACAAUUAUCAAAUGUCAUAUGUGAUUCUUUUAUAUCCUUAGACUUUGUCAGAUGAAUGUGUAAUCUUUAGGUCCCUAUGUGUUUAAGACUGAUUUUUACAUACACAGUUAUGUUUUUAUAUCUGUGGUAAUUCACCAGUCAAAACAUGACAUGCAUGAUUUUGGUUCCAAUCUUUCCACUUUAAUUCUGCUCUCAAUCCUUCCCUCCCCCCAGUAACCAGUCAUAUUUGACUGAUCUUUUUAGAUUAAAAACUAAAAAGGAAGAAAUAUGUCAAAUACAUUUUCAAAUUCUCCUUGUUAAGCCCUGUCACUUUAGCGACAGCCCUCCUCGAAUUCCCUCCCCAUUUGGAUUUGAAAAGUGGAUGUAACCCUUUCAAGGCUGGACACAUUUUCUUUGGAUCAUUUUCCUGCCAUUGCAUUCAGAGACUGGUCUUCAAAGGGCUUUAUUAGUUGAAAUAAUACGUAAUCUACAUUAUUUCCAAUCACAUAUAAAGAUGGCUUAAAUCCCUUAGUAGCAGAGAAUAGCCUGGAAAAGGAUUCCCUAUGUUCCAAAGGACAGAUAAAAACUUCCAAAAAUAAGUAAAACUAUUUUUUCCUGUUACACACCACAGCUGAUUUUCUUUCCAUGAGCAUGAAAAGCCUAAUUUUUAUUAAGGAAUACACUGGGCAUCUUGCAUCUCUAAAAACAUAUUUGGUCUUCAGUCAUCCUGACCAAAACAGGUUUUCUGAGAGCUUGGUUAAAGUUGCCUGUACCAUCUCCUACCAAAACUGGUGCAGGACAUGGUCCUCUCCAGGACCUGCUACCUGACACAAAUACCAAUGCUGAUUUUACCAAACUAAGGAAACAUGGACUAGGAUACCAAGGAUGGUUUGGGAUAGCAACAUGUCACUGCCAUGUCUGUCACCACGUCACCUUUGAGCCACCUCUAGUGAUAUGAAUAUUUUCCCUCUUUAUAUUUUACAGCAUUUAACCUAAUUAUGUGUUGAAAUGAGUGCAUGUGUUUUCCUUGACCAUAUCACUGGGAUCCAGGUUGAAAUGCUAAUCUUUACAUACUUAAUUAAACCAGUGUUUGUAACAGUACAGUGUAGCAAAGCCUUAAUUUCUGAGCAGAGUGAAACUCAAAACACGUCUCUAAAAUAAUAAUAAAAGAGAUUGAAAAUAUAAGUCAGAGUAAACCAGAUGCAGAUAGGAGUGAGCAGAAGCAGUGUGGAGCUUGGCACAGCACUGGCACACUCAUUUUCUAGGCAUAUGUCUUUUUCCAUGUUACUCCUGCUUAUUGUAGUUGGUAAAGGGUUGACCUUUUUCACAGAUUAUUUUUCCUGGGCUAACUUUGAAUUUAGCAGUACAGGCACGAGGAGCCAUUUUGUGCUUGGUGCCUCAGAUCGUGUUGCCCUGUGUGCCAGUGGAUAAAUUUGUAAAUGGUUUUCUUCAGUUUUUUCCUGUGUUAGUGCUGAGGCAACAGCACAUGUGUAAAAUGGACAUGCAUGUUAUGCUGCAUGUCUUUAAGUCUCUGCACGAAUAUUAACUAAUUAGUGAGUAAGGUCUGUGACAAAGUUGUUGCAAAUAGCAGAGGUGCAGGGGAUACAGCUCGAACACCACCUGCAAGUCUGAAUGCACAAGGGCUGAGAAAACAGGAAAGGAAGCAAACAAGCUGAAAGGCUGGAGCCAGCCAGCAAGAGGGCUUCAAAAAUACAAAUAAAUUUAGCACAUUAAGACUGGCAGCAGCUCAUAUAGGUUUAAUGGUUACACUAAGAAUGGACUGUCAAUCUGGACUGUCAGCCCUUAGCAUGGAGAGAUUAUAACCUAAGUGCUACCCAAGCCUUAAUUAGAGCAAAUCAAUUUUUUGACACACCAUUUCAGGACAACAAAGGUCCCAUAGUAAAAAGAGUUUUCUACUCUUCCUUUUAAUUUGCAUCAGACUGCUGAGAUCUGUGGUGCAUAACUUCUGAGCAAUUUGGUUUCCCAUUCUUAGUUUUCCAAGAAAAUAUGAUUUUUCCUUGGGAACUAAAGUUAAUCUGGUAACUAAAUCAAAGGUCAGAUGUUAUCUUCCAAGCUAACAUAUAAGCUCUGCUGACAACCCAGUAUUUUCCUUGAUCUCUCUAUUCUGGUUACUCUGGCUGUGAUUUUUGUGGCUGUCUUUUUUGGGAGAAGGUCUGCAACAGUGCAUCCCAGGCAGUAUGCAUGAGGAUAAAACUAUUGAGGAAAACAUGGUUGGUAUGGUAGGACCUCACUAUCAGAAUCAGGAUUAUCAUAGCUGGAGUAAGAAACUGCAGGUGUGCUUGUUGCCAAAAGGUCACCCAGCAUCACAAUGGCUUCACAGACCAUGACAGGUUUGUGUUUAUUUGAGGAUGAGAUCUGGCCUUUGCCUAAAGUGUAUCACAGCCAUUGCAAUGGAGGCUUAAGCACACCCUGAUGUCACAAAAACCAGCCGGAUUAGGGAUGACUAAAUACAACACCUCAAGGGCCCAGCUACAGGCUGAGACAGAGCAGUCACUUCUGGCACAUCUUUUCAGUUUUUCUUACCCAAAAGAAAAAACAGUGCUGAAAGCCCUUUCCCGUGGGGUGAAGAGAGCAAUGAGAUAUGAACAUAAUCCUCCAAGUGUCUUUGACUGCCUUCCUGGGUCUUGAGGGGAAGCCCUUAGCUAAGGGAACUGGCUAGCUUGUGUCAGUGCCAGAUAAGGAAUUUUUUAAAGACAGAGCAUUAGAGAAAAGGAAAAAAAAAAAAACUUUUUAAAAAGGGGAGGGAGGAAUAUUUACAAGUGCAUGAAUGCAAGCUUUGUCAACAGUUUUCUUGGGAGAUAAGGAGCUGGACUGGCCCAUCUCUGCACGGCAUGGACACACUCGAUGCCUUUGAGUCUCUCAGGAAAGAGCAAAAGGAGCUGCUGACAUUUCUGCUUAGAAGGAAGAAUCAAUGAAUCUUUGUUUCCCACUGCUGCUUGUUUGACCUUAUUGUGUUGCAGAAUAGAAAAGAAAUAAAAGGGAAUGGUGAGGGGAGAGCAGAUUCGUGCUAAUAAAAUCCAAGACAAGAUCACAGCCCCCUGAUCAUCACUGGAGAUGCCAUUAUUUGGUUGUUGUCCUAUUUGCCGCUGUUGCUCAUUUCUGAUUCUUGCCUUGCUGUAAUAAGUCACACUCUUUCCAGCCAUCAUCCCUGUAUUGACAGGCAAAUGUCACCCAGGUUUGAUUGACGUCCAUUGCUCCUGAAUACAAAAGUAUGAUUUAGGAAUCAAUUCUGUUUGUUUAUUUAAACAGCUCUUUGUGUACCUUGUAUAUCUGUAAGCAGGACAAGUUCUUUAAUAUUUUGUGCCACUAAUACUGCACAUUCACCUUCCCACUCAGUCACAAAGGUGCCCACCAGACCCUGGGGGAGGAGAAGACUUUCAUGCACCAAAAAAAAAAAAAAAAAAAAAAAAAAAAAA